rnacentral:lncRNA from 1 species
GAUGUGGACCGAUUAAGUUGAUGUAGAUCGGAUCUAUUUUUAUUUUUGUAUUCUUUUAUGCUUGUCAUCACUUGAUUUCAAUGGAAUACAUUUUCUCGAGUUGUGAGUUUCAAUCCCCUAAAGUUCCAAAUUUUAAAAAUAACGUUCUCAUCAUAUUUUUAUUGAAAAAUAAAAAGAAGAAAAUAAAAAUGAGAGGGGG